rnacentral:rRNA from 1 species
UACGUAGGGUGCAAGCGUUGUCCGGAAUUAUUGGGCGUAAAGAGCUCGUAGGCGGUCUGUCGCGUCGGCUGUGAAAUCCCGAGGCUCAACCUCGGGUCUGCAGUCGAUACGGGCAAACUAGAGUAUUGCAGGGGAGACUGGAAUUCCUGGUGUAGCGGUGAAAUGCGCAGAUAUCAGGAGGAACAUCGGUGGCGAAGGCGGGUCUCUGGGCAAUAACUGACGCUGAGGAGCGAAAGCGUGGGGAGCGAACAGG